rnacentral:lncRNA from 1 species
ACUAAUUGACCCAAAUUUCAAAAUAUCCAAAUUCUCAGUACACAUUGUGUAAUGUACUGUGUACUAAACUUUUCCUACCAAUUUUCGAAAUACAAUUAUUCAUAUCAAGUUAUGCCAAAAACAGGAAAACAAAAUACAGCUAGAAAAUCAUAUACGCAUGAUAAUCCUCAAAUGAAAAUGCAAAGUAGAAUGGGUAUCAAUCGUUUGUUUAAACCACAUAAUAGCAAAUAAAGUAGAUAAUACAAAUCAAUGAAUCAGAUUUGAUGUAAAUCUUGUUAGCCAAAACAUAAGAACAACAUUUCAUUUCACUCACAAACCAUAGCCAAAAUGGAUUAAUAAACAAAAAGCGGUAAAAGAGUCCAAAGUUUAGAAAAUGCUUACAUAUUUCUUGCGGCCAUAGCCCUCUUCACCACCAUAACCAUAGUUCUUACGAGACUCAUCGUCAUCAACAUCGCGACUCUCAUAAGCUGGUCUCACAUACUCCUCCUCUUGCCUCCCAUAACUAGGCCUCCUUGGUGGGUCAUCUCCAUAACUCGGUCUCUCGUAUUCGGGCCUUCCUCCAUACGCUUCCUCCCCAUAACUAGGCUUCCGCCCAUAACCUUCGCCAUAUCCUGACCCACCACCUUCGUAUUCAGACUGUGGCCUACCUCCAUAUCCGGAUCCAUAUUCCGAACUAGGCCUCUCAUACCCAGGCUCAGGUCUCCUGCCAUACCCGGAUCCAUACUCCCCACCUGGUGGCCUCUCAUAUCCAGUCCCAUAUUCUGAUUCUGGCCUCCUUCCAUAGCCACCAGAUCCAUAUUCUGAAUCGGGUCUCUGGCCAUAACCAGAACCAUAUUCCUCACCGGAUGGCCUUCCGCCAUAUCCACCAGAUCCAUAAUCAGAUCCAGGCAUGGUAACUCCAGGCUGGAAACCAUAAGCAGGCUCAGGCUUAGCAUCUACAAAUACUUCUCCACCAGGAGUGUAUCCAUGAGCAGGACCGGGUCGGGGCUUGGGACGGCCAUAGCUGCUGUACUCCUCCUGGAGAUGAUCGUCGGCGUAGGCUGAUGGCUCAGCGUAGGAGGUGUAGCUGGGGCGAUCAUAGUCGAUCUCAUCGGCGGAUGAGCUGUGCGGGUAGCAUGUC